rnacentral:rRNA from 1 species
GAUGAACGCUGGCGGCGUGCCUAAUACAUGCAAGUCGAGCGAACAGAUGAGGAGCUUGCUCCUCUGACGUUAGCGGCGGACGGGUGAGUAACACGUGGUUAACCUACCUAUAAGACUGGGAUAACUUCGGGAAACCGGAGCUAAUACCGGAUAAUAUAUUGAACCGCAUGGUUCAAUAGUGAAAGACGGUUUUGCUGUCACUUAUAGAUGGAUCCGCGCCGCAUUAGCUAGUUGGUAAGGUAACGGCUUACCAAGGCAACGAUGCGUAGCCGACCUGAGAGGGUGAUCGGCCACACUGGAACUGAGACACGGUCCAGACUCCUACGGGAGGCAGCAGUAGGGAAUCUUCCGCAAUGGGCGAAAGCCUGACGGAGCAACGCCGCGUGAGUGAUGAAGGUCUUCGGAUCGUAAAACUCUGUUAUUGGGGAAGAACAAAUGUGUAAGUAACUAUGCACGUCUUGACGGUACCUAAUCAGAAAGCCACGGCUAACUACGUG